rnacentral:misc_RNA from 1 species
ACUGACACGGAACAACGGCAAACACGCCGCCGGGUCAGCGGGGUUCUCCUGAGAACUCCGGCAGAGAAAGCAAAAAUAAAUGCUUGACUCUGUAGCGGGAAGGCGUAUUAUGCACACCCCGCGCCGCUGAGAAAAAGCGAAGCGGCACUGCUCUUUAACAAUUUAUCAGACAAUCUGUGUGGGCACUCGAAGAUACGGAUUCUUAACGUCGCAAGACGAAAAAUGAAUACCAAGUCUCAAGAGUGAACACGUAAUUCAUUACGAAGUUUAAUUCUUUGAGCGUCAAACUUUUAAAUUGAAGAGUUUGAUCAUGGCUCAGAUUGAACGCUGGCGGCAGGCCUAACACAUGCAAGUCGAACGGUAACAGGAAGAAGCUUG